CUAAAUGUAAUCUAGAACCUGAAAUGAGCUCCUUAUACUAAAGUUUUGAAAAUAACUGACAUGAGUGGCAGAGAAGGACUUUACUGAACAAAAGUUGAUAACAGAGGUUAUUUAUGCUUCUGUGGAUGACAAUCUAGAGUACUAUUGCAGCGCUCAGAUAACCAGACUUCAUCGCUCAGGUAACCAGAUACUUUGAAACAGAACUUCAGCUCCCUAGAUACUGCCAGUGUAUGAAAUAAAUGGUCACAAGAUGAAGAUUUGAGUCAUAAUUUUGAAGCAUGAAGGUCUUGCCUUCUUGAGUCUGUUGGAUAUGGGGAGA